rnacentral:rRNA from 1 species
GACGAACGCUGGCGGCGUGCUUAACACAUGCCAGUCGAACGGAAAGGCCCUGCUUUUGUGGGGUGCUCGAGUGGCGAACGGGUGAGUAACACGUGAGUAACCUGCCCUUGACUUUGGGAUAACUUCAGGAAACUGGGGCUAAUACCGGAUAGGAGCUCCUGCUGCAUGGUGGGGGUUGGAAAGUUUCGGCGGUUGGGGAUGGACUCGCGGCUUAUCAGCUUGUUGGUGGGGUAGUGGCUUACCAAGGCUUUGACGGGUAGCCGGCCUGAGAGGGUGACCGGCCACAUGGGGCCUGAGAUACGGACCAGACUCCUACGGGAGGCAGCAGUGGGGAAUAUUGCACAAUGGGCGGAAGCCUGAUGCAGCAACGCCGCGUGCGGGAUGACGGCCUUCGGGUUGUAAACCGCUUUCGCCUGUGACGAAGCGUGAGUGACGGUAAUGGGUAAAGAAGCACCGGCUAACUACGUG